UCAAGACAUGGUUGCUUUGUUUAGUCACUGCUUGCAGAAUGCCUUGCUGUUGCGCUUGGGGAUGCAGGAAUACAACUGAAAAGGGUACAAGCUGUGUCGCUUUCCAAAAGACCCUGCAAGAAGAAAGAUUUCGGAGGCGAAAUUAAGGGAGGCGAUCGACAUUUGUUGGGCGUCAUCUCCGACGAGCUUAUUUCUCUACGAGGCUCAUUUUGACGAGUCUCAAUUCGAGAAUUGCAUGCAGAGCUGACAGGAAGAGAAAGCUGAAAGUAAAUAUGCCAUUUCGACGAUAUUUCCUCAUCGCAAAGCUGACUUUCGGAGAAAGUCUCCUUCAAUUAAGACAAAGGGUAGAUCUGGAAUCAAGAGCUCCCCUCACUUGUUGGAUCAUUCCUACUAGCUGUUUUUCCGUGGAGGCCGGGAGCACAAGUUUCUUCAAAUGCUGAUACAAUGGACACGUUACCGCCUUGUAUUCUACAUAGAUGAACUGUGGAACGUGUGUGCACGCUCUUCGAUCAGCAGCUCAGAGGACCCCAGUUUGUGAUCGUCGUUUGCUGCACGUCGUGGAAACGGUACAAAUGAAUACGAGUAGUGAGUUUCAGAAGCCAUACUCUUCCAACGCGAUGAUUGCUGGUGCACUGAAAUCUUUUUGGUAUGUUUAGAUAAUUACUUAAAUUUAUUAAUAAUAAUUACAAAAUUAGACAA